ACCAAAUACUAGGAGGAUUCAACAGGGACGUCAAUUGGUUCAUUACUUUUCUCCUUGAGCAAUGGUUGUGACCUUGCUCUCUCAGCAUCACUUAUUUGAUUCUCACUAUCUUCGUUGGAUCUAUCUACACUGUGAAGAAAGAUGCCUAUAAACCAUAUUCCAGCCGCUAUAAGUAGAACUGAUGUCAACAUCAAAGCAGUGACCCUCCAAUUGUUAAUGUGAUCCUGGACAACCCCCACAAGAGGAGACGAAGGAACAUCACCAAAUAUGUGGAUUGAAACAGUAGACAUCGCCAUAGCCAGUGGUCUCAAACCUGGAUUGACGGAAUG
rnacentral:misc_RNA from 1 species